CCUACGGGAGGCAGCAGUGAGGAAUAUUGGUCAAUGGACGUGCGCCUGAACCAGCCAAGUCGCGUGAGGGAAGACUGCCCUAUGGGUUGUAAACCUCUUUUGUCAGGGAGCAACGGGCGCCACGUGUAGCAGCACUGAGAGUACCUGGAGAAAAAGCAUCGGCUACCUCCGUGCCAGCAGCCGCGGUAAUGCGGAGGAUGCGGGCGUUAUCCGGAUUUAUUGGGUUUAAAGGGGGCGUAGCUGGGUUGUCAAGUCACUGGUGAAAGUUUGGGGCUCAACCGUGAAAUUGCGUUUGAUUCUGGCAGUCUUGAGUACGGGUGAGGUAGGCGGAAUGCGUGGUGUAGCGGUGAAAUGCUUAGAUAUCACGAAGAACUCCGAUUGCGAAGGCAGCUUACUAACCCGCCACUGACACUGAUGCACGAAAGCGUGGGUAUCAAACAGGAUUAGAUACCCUAGUAGUC
rnacentral:rRNA from 1 species